rnacentral:rRNA from 1 species
GCCUAAAACAAAUAAUUAUAUUAACAAUUUUAUUCGCCAGAGUACUCCCGGAAACACCCAAAAACUAAAAGGAUUGGGGGGUUUUUUAUAUCCCUCUAGAGGAGCCUGUUCUAUAAUCAAAAACCCCCGAUAGACCUCCCCAUUUUUUGCUAAUGCAGUCUAUAUCCCGCCUUCUUCAGAAAACCCUAAAAGGGUAAAAAAGAAAGCGAAAUCACAACGAAAAAAAACGUUGGGUCAGGGUGAACCCUAUAAAGGGGGAAAAAGGGGGCUAUUUUUUCUACCCCAAAAACCCCCAACACAAAAGUUUUUAUGAAAAUUAAUACCCAAGGGGGGUUUUAGCAGAAAACUAAAAAUAGAGUGUUUAUUUAAACUAGGCCAUGAAGCACGCACACCCCCCCCGCCCCAAA